ensembl:lncRNA
ACCUGGUCCAUAAGGACACAGAAUGCAGAAGCAUUUGUACCAACUGUCUGCUUUCUCAUCAGCCUCAAACCAAACUAAAGGUAGUUGAUGAUGCAUCAGAAACUCACCAUAUUGGGUGAAGUUGAAGACCAAGAAGGCAGAAUCACUUUCCUUAAAUGGAUCCAUUAUCACGACUCAGGACAUGACCCAGAUGUAGGAGGCGGACAGUACAGUUCUCAUAAUAUUUAUUAUACAAGGGGGCAGGCAGAGGUCAGUAAUCCAGGGCAGAGUCAAUGAGGUAAAGAACGGCGGGCAGGCAGUAUGGUCAGAACCAGGAAGACUAGAAACCGGGAAAACACACUGGUAAGACUUGAGGGGACAAGACGAACUGGCAACAGAAAACACUGGUAUAAAUACACAGGGGAUAAUGGGGACAAAUGGGAGACACCUGGUGGGGGGUAGAGACAAGCACAAGAAAGGUGAAACAGAUCAGGGCGUGAUAUCCAUAAUGGAAAGAAAAUGGCAUUUUUAAUGUGUACGCUCCAAAUUCAUAUGAUCUUAAGUGUUUUGAUUCUCUGAAUAUUAUUGCUAGAAUUCCAUCUGGUUAUUGGGACAGACAUGAAGGCCAUUUUAGACAUACAAUCCACAGGAAACCAAGGCUUUCCAUCAUAUCCUCUGAUUAUAACCUCAUUGAUGCCUGGCGAGCACAUAAUCCAGAAGCAAACGAGUGCCUUUUUUUUCUCAAAUUAAGAAAAUAUAAAUUCGACAUAUGAGCUUGACCACCAUGAGUCUGACCACCAGGUUGUCCGAUCACCACGCUUACAACUGCCAACUUCAAAUCUUACAAUCUACUAAAAGAGCCACAAGCUGGCGUUUCAAUGUUUCAUUACUACAAAAUCCUAUAUUCUGUGAUCAAUUUGAAAUUUAACUUAAUUAAUUCAUAAUGAUCAAAUACAAAUUCAGUCGAUGACCCCCGGAUUCUGGAAUGCCACCAAAGUUUUUAUUAAAAAUAAUGCAACUGCAUUUGGUGUAAUCUCCCUGUGUGUAGCUGGUGUGGAAGAGUCAGGCGCAGGACAGCAGAAAUUAGUAAUGAGCUUACUUUACUCAAGAAUUCAAAUAUAAUCAACUCAAUAAACUUAGCCCACAAUAACGGAUCAAAUACAUACAAUCACUCACUCACAAAAAAACAUGAGGGAACAGAGGGUUAAAUAAUGAACAAGUAAUUGCUGGCAUUGAAAACAGGUGUGUAAAACAAAGACAAAACAAAUGGAAAAUGAAAAGUGGAUUGGCUAUGGCAAGAAGGCCGGUGACGUCGACCGCCGAACGCCAAAACAAGGAGAGGGACCGACUUUGGCGGAAGUCGUGACAUCUGGGCUGAAUAAAUCACAAUUAAACAAGAUAUCAGAAUUGGAAAUGUUGUUUAGCUGCGUUAGAGCGUUCACUUUUUCAGACCAGGUAGUAAUGAUCAAUUAGCUGAUAAAGCAACUAUUGUAUCUGAAACUGGGGACUUAAUAUCGGAACCCAAAUGAAUCAAUCAAAGAUUAUCCCACUUCUAUAAAGAACUGUUCACCUCUGAUUUUAAAUCCACACCAAGUUCUUUAAGAAUCAAGAACUCCUCUUCUCUCAACAGAGGAAGCCACCUCACAGGGAGCCCAAAUCUCUCUCAAUGAACUCAAAAGGGCAUUGGACAGCAUGAAUAAAGGGCAUUGGACAGCAUGAAUAAAGGGCAUUGGACAGCAUGAAUAAAGGGCAUUGGACAGCAUGAAUAAAAGGCAUUGGAUAACAUGAAUAAAGGGCAUUGGACAGCAUAAAUAAAGGGCACUGGAUAACAUAAAUAAAGGGCACUGGACAGCAUGAAUAAAGGGCACUGGAUAACAUAAAUAAAGGGCAUUGGACAGCAUGAAUAAAGGGCAUUGGAUAACAUAAAUAAAGGGCAUUGGACAGCAUGAAUAAAGGGCAUUGGAUAACAUAAAUAAAGGGCAUUGGAUAACAUAAAUAAAGGGCAUUGGUUACAUAAAUAAAGGGCCUUGGACAGCAUAAAUAAAGGGCAUUGGAUAACAUGAAUAAAGGGCACUGGAUAACAUAAAUAAAGGGCAUUGGACAGCAUGAAUAAAGGGCAUUGGAUAACAUGAAUAAAGGGCAUUGGACAGCAUGAAUAAAGGGCAUUGGUUACAUAAAUAAAGGGCAUUGGACAGCAUAAAUAAAGGGCAUUUGAUAACAUGAAUAAAGGGCACUGGAUAACAUAAAUAAAGGGCAUUGGAUAACAUAAAUAAAGGGCAUUGGAUAACAUGAAUAAAGGGCACUGGAUAACAUGAAUAAAGGGCAUUGGAUAACAUAAAUAAAGGGCAUUGGAUAACAUGAAUAAAGGGCAUUGGAUAACAUAAAUAAAGGGCACUGGAUAACAUAAAUAAAGGGCAUUGGAUAACAUAAAUAAAGGGCAUUGGAUAACAUAAAUAAAGGGCAUUGGAUAACAUGAAUAAAGGGCAUUGGAUAACAUAAAUAAAGGGCAUUGGAUAACAUGAAUAAAGGGCAUUGGAUAACAUGAAUAAAGGGCAUUGGAUAACAUGAAUAAAGGGAAAUCAACUGGAAGGGACAGUAUUCCUCCUGAAGUCAAUUUAUUUUUUUAUUAAUCAGUUAGGUCCACUAUUGCUCGAAAUGAUUAACAAAGCCAUUCACAAAGGUUGAUUUGGGAGAGAUACAGCACUCAUUUAGCUUGUACAAAAAAAGGUAAUUAGGGGAAGGGUGGCAGGGUUAUCGAAAAUUAUAAAGGAAAAUACAUAUAUUUUUAGAUAUGUACAUACAGUACCGGUCAAAAGUUUGGACACACCUACUCAUUCAAGGAUUUUAAUUU